rnacentral:tRNA from 1 species
GCAUUGGUGGUUCGGGGGUAGAACUCUCACCUUCCAUGUAAGAGACCCAGGUUCAAUUCCCAGCCAGUACA